CCAAUCGCGUAUAUUAAAGUUGUUGCAGUUAAAAAGCUCGUAGUUGAAUUUUGGGUUUGGCCGAUUGGUCCGUUCUUGUAACGAGUACUGGUCGGUUGGGCCUCACCGCCUGGUGAUGCGUAAUGUCCUUUAUUGGGUGUUGCGAGUAGCCAGGACUUUUACCUUGAAAAAAUUAGAGUGUUUAAAGCAGGCUUAUGCCGGAAUACAUUAGCAUGGAAUAAUAGAAUAGGACGAUGAUUCUAUUUUGUUGGUUUCUAGGACCAUCGUAAUGAUUAAUAGGGAUAGUUGGGGGCAUUAGUAUUCAAUUGUCAGAGGUGAAAUUCUUGGAUUUAUUGAAGACUAACUACUGCGAAAGCAUUUGCCAAGGAUGUUUUCAUUAAUCAAGAACGAAAGUUAGGGGAUCGAAGACGAUCAGAUACCGUCGUAGUCUUAACCAUAAACUAUGCCGACUAGGGAUCGGGCGAUGUUGUUUCAAUGACUCGCUCGGCACCUUAUG
rnacentral:rRNA from 1 species